UUGAAACUCAAAGGAAUUGACGGGGGCCCGCACAAGCGGUGGAGCAUGUGGUUUAAUUCGAUGCUACGCGAAGAACCUUACCAGGUCUUGACAUCUUCUGCCAACCUAAGAGAUUAGGCGUUCCCUUCGGGGACAGAAUGACAGGUGGUGCAUGGUUGUCGUCAGCUCGUGUCGUGAGAUGUUGGGUUAAGUCCCGCAACGAGCGCAACCCUUAUUGUUAGUUGCCAGCAUUCAGUUGGGCACUCUAGCAAGACUGCCGGUGACAAACCGGAGGAAGGUGGGGAUGACGUCAAAUCAUCAUGCCCCUUAUGACCUGGGCUACACACGUGCUACAAUGGACGGUACAACGAGUCGCGAAACCGCGAGGUCAAGCUAAUCUCUUAAAGCCGUUCUCAGUUCGGAUUGUAGGCUGCAACUCGCCUACAUGAAGUUGGAAUCGCUAGUAAUCGUGGAUCAGCAUGCCACGGUGAAUACGUUCCCGGGCCUUGUACACACCGCCCGCCACACCAUGAGAGUUUGUAACACCCAAAGCCGGUGAGGUAACCUUCGGGGACCAGCCGUCUAAGGUGGGACAGAUGAUUAGGGUGAAGUCGUAACAAG
rnacentral:rRNA from 1 species